UUGAAGAAUUUAGAGACCUCAACUUGCAGACUUGAAGAAUUCGAAGACUUCAACUUGCAGACUUGAAGAAUUUAAAGACUUCAACU
rnacentral:pre_miRNA from 1 species